AAGCAUUGGGCUGAAAUGUGAUGUCCUUGGAUAAUCGGGCUGCUUCAAUGCUAGAAUUGGGCCCUUUGAGCUUCAAUUAAGUAAAGGGUGUUUCAUCCUGUACCUCCAAACAUUUCAUCCUGCACCUCCAAUUUCCUAAAAUACCCCUUAUUAAUUAGAUGAUUAUUUGUUAAUUUUCUGUUUAUUGAAAAUUUCUGUCCUUAUUGACUACAUUCCCCUUUUCUUCCUAUAAGAAAACAUGCAUUCUUACGUCUCCACCCCCUCUACCUUCUGUAUUCUCAUUUCACAUUUGUUA
rnacentral:lncRNA from 1 species